rnacentral:rRNA from 1 species
AGCGACGCCGCGUGAGGGAUGACGGCCUUCGGGUUGUAAACCUCUUUCAGCAGGGAAGAAGCGAAAGUGACGGUACCUGCAGAAGAAGCGCCGGCUAACUACGUGCCAGCAGCCGCGGUAAUACGUAGGGCGCGAGCGUUGUCCGGAAUUAUUGGGCGUAAAGAGCUCGUAGGCGGCUUGUCACGUCGGUUGUGAAAGCCCGGGGCUUAACCCCGGGUCUGCAGUCGAUACGGGCAGGCUAGAGUUCGGUAGGGGAGAUCGGAAUUCCUGGUGUAGCGGUGAAAUGCGCAGAUAUCAGGAGGAACACCGGUGGCGAAGGCGGAUCUCUGGGCCGAUACUGACGCUGAGGAGCGAAAGCGUGGGGAGCGAACAGGAUUAGAUACCCUGGUAGUCCACGCCGUAAACGGUGGGCACUAGGUGUGGGCGACAUUCCACGUCGUCCGUGCCGCAGCUAACGCAUUAAGUGCCCCGCCUGGGGAGUACGGCCGCAAGGCUAAAACUCAAAUGUUUUUGGACGGGGA